GCGGCGUUGUUAUUGACGCCAUAUUGUUGGUUUGGGAGUCGAAGGGGAGAGCUGCCGCCGCCGCCGCCGCCCGGGCCCUACCGCCAUCGCUCGUCAUCGGUCGCCGCGGCCUGGGUAGCCGGGCCCGGCCCCGCGCUCCUCGACCCAGCUCACGCCCGGCCACCGGACGCGGGCGGAAUUGGCCCGGGCAGGGCAGGGCGGGCGGCGAGAGCAGGGAUCUAGCCGGCCGAGCCGGAGCCGCUGGCGGGGCCGGGGCCGCUCCCCUGAGAGCGGCCGACAGGGAGGCGGCGGAGGCCCUGACGCAGCUGCCCCCUCCUUUCCCUGCCGCCCUCCCUUCCCUCCCCUCCAGCCCGCCCCAGACAGCGGGGAAAGCGCCUCUGGGCUGGGCCGGCUGCCGCCGCCGCCGUCGUUUCCCCUGCCCCUCGCUCUGAGCCCCCUUCCUCCGUCCCGCCGCCGCCCCGCGCCAUGGCUUGCGGCGCCACUUUGAAAAGGACUCUGGAUUUCGACCCGCUGCUGAGCCCGGCGUCCCCGAAGCGGAGGCGAUGUGCGCCAUUGUCAGCCCCGGCCUCAGCCGCCGCCGCCUCGUCCUCCUUCGCCGCCGCCUCCCCGCAGAAAUACCUGCGCAUGGAGCCCUCGCCCUUCGGAGAGGUUUCGUCCCGGCUCACCACAGAACAAAUUCUGUACAACAUAAAACAGGAGUACAAACGCAUGCAGAAGAGGAGACACUUAGAAAAUAGCUUCCAGCAGACAGAUCCUUGUUGUUCUACUGAUGCACAGCAACAUGCAUUUCUCCUUACUGGACCAGCUUUGCCAGGUACUUCAUCUGCAGCAUCAUCACCAUUGAAAAAAGAACAGCCUCUGUUUACUCUCAGACAAGUUGGAAUGAUCUGUGAACGUUUGCUGAAAGAACGUGAAGAGAAAAUCCGUGAAGAGUAUGAAGAAAUUUUGACCACAAAACUUGCAGGUGAAGCUCAUCCCUGCAAGAGGAUGGGGACUUUAAUGGGGCAAACCUGUGGGACUAGGAACCACUACAAAUGUAACUGCAUUUUUGGUUGAAGAUUGCCUUCUUUGACCUUGCCCUUUUCUCAGAACACCCCACAUUGCUGCACAUGUAUUUUUCCACAAGGGAGGAAGGGGAAUGGAGAGGAGCGGCAUCUGGUAGAUAUUACUCUCCUUGUUCAAUUUGCUAAUUCUGAAAGGUGAUAUCCUGCUGAUGAGUGCAAUAUUAAAACUGAACAAAAUACUGCGAAUGUAUUUGUAUGUAUGUGUGUAUAGAAAGAAUAAUCUUUCUGGGAAAUAAUGCUUAGUUCAAAGCCAAGUCACUACGUUUGAUACCUGAAUUUCAUUUCAGAUUACAUAGUAGCCGUUUUCAUGAAAUCACAGUCAACUAUUUGUCUCCUAUUGUUGCUGCUUUUUGUCACUGGAAUUAAUAGUCGGGUAUUAAGUCCCUUAGCAUUUCAUCCUUUUAGUUUGUUGUUUGCUUUUGAUUUUUCUGGUGGUCACUGAAAAGAAUUUCUAAUUCCACAGCAAGUCCCUUUCCUGUCCUUCCGUGUUCCCAUUUCAUUAAAUCCAUUUUCUUACAUCUGGUCGUGAUAGCAGCAGAGAGAAGUUACAUUUCCAACCCUAGCACUGACUUUAUUGCCAUGUUUGCUUAACUACUGUGCCCCCAUUACAGGUCUGUGAAAUGGGCACGCUUGAUUCCUUCACAGUGCCGUGGCACUUAGCAGGUGUUGGGUAUAUUGAGCUCUUGGUGUAUGUGCAGCAUAAUUCUCUUGGUGCAUAUUACUUUCUUUCCUGUUACAGAAGUUUGUAAAGGAAAGUCUUUUAAUUAAGGACAUGUGCUGCAUUGUUGUUCUUGAGGGUGAAAAGGAAAUGGCAGCUAUGAGCUGUGUAAAACUGCUGCUAGUGGAUGCGUGAUAAACUUACAUGAUUUGUAUGUAUAAAAAAGUAGCCUUGAAUAUUUUUCAGCUUAAGCUAAAUUCAGUAUACUCACACUUCUAAUGCUUCAUGCUUGCAGAACAAUAUGAUGCAUUUGUGAAGUUCACGCAUGAUCAGAUCAUGCGACGAUAUGGAGAACAGCCUGCCAGUUAUGUUUCAUGAAUCACACUUUCUGCAUAUGUGGGCUGCCCUAUACACCCUGUUCUAUUGUUGCAAGCUGUCCCAGUAAAGACUUGCAGCAAUGCCAUAUUUUUUUCCCCCUGUGAACACAGGUUAUUUCAAGCUUUUGUCAGUGGCAACCACUCUUAAUGCAGCAACUGGUUUUGGAGUGCUCCCUGAUGUCAGUACCACCUGGAUGUGGACCUUUGCUACCUGUAAUAAUACCAGUGGCCUCAUUUGCUGUAUCAUUACAAUUUGGCUUCUUAUGUUAAUAAGUUUGAAAAAGUUUAAGGAUUAAAGCUGGUGUUCUAGAAGUUGCCCUUCACUGGUUGUGUAAAUAAAAAUGUAGAAUGACACUUCUGACUGAAGUUAGUGUGGUUUUCAUAACUGUGCACUACAACAAAACUGUAAUCACAGUUAAGUUAGAAUGUAAUCCCAGGACAAUUUUAAGCAAAUAGCCCACAGUACUGCCUGUGAAAUAGUGAAGGAGGGCAUUUCUGUAUUCCAUGACUUUUUUGGGGGUUAAGAAUGGGUUUAUAUGAUUUCUCAUUUUUGUAGUUUUUAUUUAUUCUAUCAGUCUUUAACAAAUGUUUAUUGCUGCAAUUUUUCAGUGUAUCAUUGUUUUACUGCCCUUGUAGUACUGGAAUUUAGUUGGAAGAAUAAAACAUUUACUUCUAA